GAGACACGGGAGUUGGAGCAUAAAAAGGUUGAGAUUGAGUAGGAUAUGACUGUGUAGGAGGACGAAAACCUGGGGGAGAUUGAUUUUGUGAAUGGAAUGGUUGCCCACCUAUAUUUGUAGAAGAAGGGAAAAAGGCGCAAUUUAACAGACUCAGAAAAAUUUUGAAACCUAAAGCUCAAAAUGUGUCGCAUUUGUCGUGGGUAACACAAUACAAGAAGGAGGAUUUGUGGUUACAGGUGAGAACAACUCUCUUAAAGGUUUUGUAUCUUCUGCAACUU